UAAAUAAAGAUGGUACAAUCUAUACUGAUAGCCAGUAAGAGGGUUCCACAACAAGAACGCAAUUCAAAGUGCAAAACUACAAAAUGAAAUUUACAUUAGCAAAGAAAAAAUAAAAUAAAAUAAAUAACUAUUCAAAUGGGCUGCUAUAUUGAGACAUGCUGUGUCACAUGUCUCAACAGGAGGGAUGGUAAGACAGAUAAAUCAAUAUUAUACAACUUAUGAUUUUAAUUCCUAUUAAAAUAAUAAUAAUAAUAAUAAUUUGUAGAGCAUGUAUGAUUUGUGCUAGGUAUAAUCCACAAGGCAAUUUGAGGCCCAGGAGAGGAAUAUUGAAUUAAACCAAAGUGAAGGAAAAAAGUAUUGUUUGGUUAUCAUAGAUGCAUUUUCUAAAUGGAUCGAAUUAUUCUCAACAAAAUCACCUGAUGCUCUGACGGUGGCAAAAGCACUAUGUAAAGACAUCAUUCCAAAAUAUGGCAUACCUGAAACCAUUUACAGUGAUAAUGGGACUCAUUUUGUAAAUCAAAUAAUCAAUAAAAUAGGAACCAUGUUCCACAUCAAUUUGAAAAACCAUUGUGCUUACCACCACCCUCAGAGUGUAGGUCGAGUGGAAAGAAUGAAUGGGACAAUAAAAAAUAGCAGAAAGAAACACGUGGGUUCAUUUAACACACUGUAAAAGAGUCAUUUCAGCUGAGUACUCAAAUAGGGAAGGUGAGCAAAAGUCUGAUAACGGAGCGGGAGCAGAUGUGUAGAUUCUGAAAACGCUUGCUGGUCAGUGAAGAAAAAAGACACCAACCCGUUUAGUGAGAACUCAGCAGAAUGGCACACCCGCGUUGGUUACGAGAUUCGAUGAGUUGUUACAUAGCAACUUUGGUUACUAUAGUGUUGAUUUUGUUUUGUGGUACAUGGGACGUCCCACCCUAAAUGAUACAACGCAUUUUUUAGAUAGGAAAUCACCUACCAACUGGACCAAUAUGACCAACCCAAUAAUAAAAAAUUUGGAAGCAUUAACUCGUACCAAAAGGAGUACAGUUGAUGAUCAGAACUGUGGGCAUGACCUCCAAAAGCGGCAAAACAGUUUAAUAUUUUGUGCCUCCCAAAAUCAAGAUACUUUAAUCAUAAUUCCAUAUGCGGCUCUCACCAAUGAUGCUCAAGAGAAUGGGCAGAAUUGAGGAUAGGUGAAACAGGUUAUGAAUGGUCCAGUUGGUCACAAAAAAAUAGCAAAAGAAUAUAGAAAGAAGUUUAACAUAAGCAAAAUGGCCCAUAGUUUAAUAUUGAAAUACAAAUCAAGUCACCCAGUGUGUUUGAUGAUGAGUUUGUGGGCAUAUUCUGGCGGAAAAGAUCCCCACUUCCGAGUAGCAUUGUGUUAUGGCAACCGUGUUGAACCAGAAAUGCCAUUAAAAAACUUCAAAGAAAAGUGAACACAUUUUAAUGGUUAAUAACAUAACUACUUAUGAUUGGUUCCUUGUAGUCACAGGAGUUUCGGGACAAAAUUCUAUUCUAGUAGCACCGAAUAAUUUCACUUGUAUAAACAUGAUUAGUAAAGGAAAAAAAUAAAUAAAAAAUAGGACCACUUAACGACACACGGUGUAAAGUAACCUUAAAAGUCGGACCAAAAUUUAUGCCAGUAUCACGGAGCAGCAGCUGGUGGUGGUCCGGAGAUGAUAGACUGUUUGAUAGAUUACCUAAAGAUCUGGAUUGUGAACUAUUAUCACUUUGAUAUUGCAUGUGUCAGUAUACCCUAUGCCUGUUCAAGAUUUAAUGGAAAGGGCACCAAUGUUUUUGUCCAAUCUAGAACAUAGACAAAAAAUAGAUUUAUCCUGGCAGAGGCAAAAUUAUCCAACAUAAAAUAUACAUCAACGCCAUAGGUGUUCCUCAUGGGGUUCCUAAUCAAUACAAAUUAGCUGACCAAGUUGCAGGAGGACUUCAUAUGCUGGUGGUGUACGAUGAAUAAAAAUGUUGAUGGGAUAAACUAUAUCCACUUCAAUGUACAGAGAUUAGGAAAUUGGACUCAGAGUGGGUUGGAAGCUGUGCAUGAGCAGCUCAAAGCUACCUCUUCAAGGACGUUCCAAAAGCGCAUAGCUGUCGACACACUCCUCGCAAGAGAGGGAGGUGUUUGCGGUAUGUUUGGAGAACAAACAAUACUGCUUCAGAUGGCAGCUUGACCAGAGCCAUCGAUGGUCUACGGACCCUCAAUCAACACUCCUUGUGGGACAGCUGGAUGGACGUUUUUGCCAUAACCCCAUGGAGAACCGUAUGGAGAUGAUGUAUCCAUUACUGUUUGAUGAUAAAGAUAAUGAUGAUGAUGAUGAUGAUUUUGCUUUAACUGAUUUGUUUCCUGAUUCAGAUGAUUACGAUGUUUAAACUACAAAAUUCAUGUAUGACAAAUUUACUCUGAGUAUAAAUGUAUUUGUUUCAUAAAAAUUAUUCUACAGUUAAAAAAUCGAAAUGAAGUGACUGUAAGAUGAUAUGAGAAUUUGUGCAAAUACAUGAUAAACAGGAGGGAAAUGUUAGAUAUAUUGUAGAAGUUAUCAUUUAUUUGCUUAGCUUGCAUUAGUAUUAUGGACAAUGUUUAGAAAGAAAGAUGUCUCGCCUUCAAGAAGAUGACUCAGCAGGAAUCAUCUGAGAGAAGGACGUGGCCGGGACGUGGCAGGUGCCAUGUUUUCACCUUGAAACCCUACCCUUAGUGUGUUGUGUCUUGUAGCUUAGUACGUUAUGUCUUGUAAACUUAGAAACCUCCCUAUUUUCAAAUAAAUGCAGGAGCGACGGGAGAGAUUGUUUAGAGCGUGUUGAGAGGCUGUAAUCUGAACAAUCUCCCAUGCGCCCUCCUCAUGAGAAAAAGAAA